rnacentral:lncRNA from 1 species
GGGCCGGCCUCUUAGAGAGAAAAGAGAGAGAUAUGUUCUCUCCAAUUCUCUAAAGAAAACCCUAAAUGAAUUUUGGCUAUAAAGUCAUAUUUAUACCUUUAUUCAUUGGAGUGGCAAACUUGUAAUUAAGUCCAAAAACCACUCCUUUAACUAAAUGGCCGGCCAUAGGGUUUCAUUGGGCUUUUAAGGCCUUUGUGAAUUAUUUGUCAUUAAGUUGUCAUACAACUUAGGUCAAUGGGCUUGACGUUCGAAGCCUAUUGGGCCUUGAGGCUCAAAACUAACCCGUGGUCUUUUAACGAACUUUAUUCGUUUGAUUAAUUAACAUAUUAAUUAAUCCUUGCCAUAAAUAAUUAAACCAUUUAAUUAUCCUUACUCAUCUCUGUUGUUUCUUCAAUCUCUACCUUACAUGGUGUACGAUCCAUUAGGUUUCUUUUAGUGAGGCAGUGGGCGAUUAGAACUCUUUCAAAUCGAUUGUGAAUUGAAACUUACUUUCAAUUCUCCCUUUAGUGAUUAUACACGUUUAGGGCUUCCACAAACAAUGAGUGACACCUAGCAGUAUGUCAUGGUUACCCAAGCUA